rnacentral:rRNA from 1 species
GCUUUUAAAAAUAGAAGUUCUAAAGCCCGAUGUCUGAUCUCGGAAGCUAAGCAGGGUUGGGCCUGGUUAGUACUUGGAUGGGAGACCGCCUAGGAAGACCAGGUGCUGUAGGCA